GUCCUCGUAGCUUAUCCCAAAGCAUGGCACUGAAGAUGCCAAGAUGGUAUACGACACGAAACCCGAGGACA
rnacentral:tRNA from 1 species